GCAGGUAGAAGCAUGCCCUCCAGUAGCUCAUAAGCAACCCUCCAAUCUUUGAACGAAGCAUCUGGCGAGAGGGAGGUUGCACCAAGUUUUUGGUCAUUUGGAACCUUUAUGGAAAUCGAACUUGGUUGCUUAUCUUGAAGGUCAGAUUGAUAGCUCCCCUCAAUUUUGGGUAUAGGAAGGGUGGCAAGCUUGGAAGAGCCUGCCUGAGUAGGAGUGGCCAAGAUGACUUUAGCCUAGGUAGAAG
rnacentral:lncRNA from 1 species